CCCAGCUACCCCAGAGGUAGAGGCUGCAAUGAGCUGAAAUCGCACCACUGAACUCCAGGCUGGGCAACAGAGCGAGACUCCAUCUCAAAAAAAAAAAAAUUGAAACUACCUUUUUGUCUCGUUUAUCCAGUUGUUCCAGCUCCAUUAGUUGAAAAGAUAAUCCUUUCCCCAUUGAACAGCACUGAUGUUUUUGUUGAAAAUCAAGUAAGCAUAUAUGUGUCGAUCUAUUUCUAAACUCUCUGGUCUAUUUAUCUGGCCUCAGGAUACUACCUGGCUGUCUUAAUUCUCUUAGUUCUGUAUUCUU
rnacentral:lncRNA from 1 species